AUGAAGUUCCUUCGGGAAUGGAUUAGUGGCGAACGGGUGAGGAACACGUGAGAAACCUGCCUUUCAUUCUGGGAUAACACCGGGAAGCCGGUGCUAAUACCGGAUACUCCGUCUUGGCGGCAUCGCCGAGCCGGGAAAAAAUUUUGAUGAAAGAUGGUCUCGCGGCCUAUCAGCUAGUUGGUGAGGUAAAGGCUCACCAAGGCGACGACGGGUAGCCGGCCUGAGAGGGCGACCGGCCACACUGGGACUGAGACACGGCCCAGACUCCUACGGGAGGCAGCAGUAGGGAAUAUUGGGCAAUGGGCGCAAGCCUGACCCAGCGACGCCGCGUGAGGGAUGAAGGUCUUCGGAUUGUAAACCUCUUUCAGUAGGGAAGAAGCGAAAGUGACGGUACCUAAAGAAGAAGCACCGGCUAACUAUGUGCCAGCAGCCGCGGUAAUACAUAGGGUGCAAGCGUUGUCCGGAAUUAUUGGGCGUGAAGAGCUCGUAGGUUGUUUGUCGCGUCGAUUGUGAAAAUCUGAGGCUCAACCUCAGACCUGCAGUCGAUACGGGCAAACUAGAGUGUGGUAGGGGAGACUGGAAUUCCUGGUGUAGCGGUGGAAUGCGCAGAUAUCAGGAGGAACACCAAUGGCGAAGGCAGGUCUCUGGGCCAUAACUGACACUGAGGAGCGAAAGUGCGGGGAGCGAACAGGAUUAGAUACCCUGGUAGUCCGCACCGUAAACGGUGGGCACUAGUUGUGGGAACCUUCCACGGUUUCCGCGACGCAGCAAACGCAUUAAGUGCCCCGCCUGGGGAGUACGAUCGCAAGAUUAAAACUCAAAGGAAUUGACGGGGCCCCGCACAAGCAGCGGAGCAUGCGGCUUAAUUCGACGCAACGCGAAGAACCUUACCANGGCUUGACAUAUAGCGAAAGUGGCAGAGAUGUCAUGUCCGCANGGCGCUAUACAGG
rnacentral:rRNA from 1 species